ACACUGCUGAGGAGUCCCAAAAUAGGGCGAUACGGCCGUCCAGUGC
rnacentral:hammerhead_ribozyme from 1 species